AUUGAACGCUGGCGGCAUGCCUUACACAUGCAAGUCGAACGGCAGCAUGAUCUAGCUUGCUCGAUUGAUGGCGAGUGGCGAACGGGUGAGUAAUACAUCGGAACGUGCCCUGUAGUGGGGGAUAACCAGUCGAAAGAUUAGCUAAUACCGCAUACGACCUGAGGGUGAAAGUGGGGGACCGCAAGGCCUCAUGCUAUAGGAGCGGCCGAUGUCUGAUUAGCUAGUUGGUGGGGUAAAGGCUCACCAAGGCGACGAUCAGUAGCUGGUCUGAGAGGACGAUCAGCCACACUGGGACUGAGACACGGCCCAGACUCCUACGGGAGGCAGCAGUGGGGAAUUUUGGACAAUGGGCGAAAGCCUGAUCCAGCAAUGCCGCGUGUGUGAAGAAGGCCUUCGGGUUGUAAAGCACUUUUGUCCGGAAAGAAAUGGCCCUGGUUAAUACCUGGGGUCGAUGACGGUACCGGAAGAAUAAGGACCGGCUAACUACGUG
rnacentral:rRNA from 1 species